GACGAACGCUGGCGGCGUGCCCAAUACAUGCAAGUAGAACGCUGAAGGAGGAGCUUGCUUCUCCGGAUGAGUUGCGAACGGGUGAGUAACGCGUAGGUAACCUGCCUGGUAGCGGGGGAUAACUAUUGGAAACGAUAGCUAAUACCGCAUAAGAGUAGAUGUCGCAUGACAUUUGCUUAAAAGGUGCAACUGCACCACUACCAGAUGGACCUGCGUUGUAUUAGCUAGUUGGUGGGGUAACGGCUCACCAAGGCAACGAUACAUAGCCGACCUGAGAGGGGGAUCGGCCACACUGGGACUGAGACACGGCCCAGACUCCUACGGGAGGCAGCAGUAGGGAAUCUUCGGCAAUGGACGGAAGUCUGACCGAGCAACGCCGCGUGAGUGAAGAAGGUUUUCGGAUCGUAAAGCUCUGUUGUAAGAGAAGAACGAGUGUGAGAGUGGAAAGUUCACACUGUGACGGUAUCUUACCAGAAAGGGACGGCUAACUACGUG
rnacentral:rRNA from 1 species